AUUGAACGCUGGCGGCAGGCCUAACACAUGCAAGUCGAACGGUAACAGGAAGCAGCUUGCUGCUUCGCUGACGAGUGGCGGACGGGUGAGUAAUGUCUGGGAAGCUGCCUGAUGGAGGGGGAUAGCUACUGGAAACGGUAGCUAAUACCGCAUAAUGUCGCAAGACCAAAGAGGGGGACCUUCGGGCCUCUUGCCAUCGGAUGUGCCCAGAUGGGAUUAGCUUGUUGGUGGGGUAACGGCUCACCAAGGCGACGAUCCCUAGCUGGUCUGAGAGGAUGACCAGCCACACUGGAACUGAGACACGGUCCAGACUCCUACGGGAGGCAGCAGUGGGGAAUAUUGCACAAUGGGCGCAAGCCUGAUGCAGCCAUGCCGCGUGUAUGAAGAAGGCCUUCGGGUUGUAAAGUACUUUCAGCGGGGAGGAAGGGAGUAAAGUUAAUACCUUUGCUCAUUGACGUUACCCGCAGAAGAAGCACCGGCUAACUCCGUG
rnacentral:rRNA from 1 species